UGGGGAAUUUUGGACAAUGGGCGAAAGCCUGAUCCAGCAAUGCCGCGUGUGUGAAGAAGGCCUUCGGGUUGUAAAGCACUUUUGUCCGGAAAGAAAUCCUUGGCUCUAAUACAGUCGGGGGAUGACGGUACCGGAAGAAUAAGCACCGGCUAACUACGUGCCAGCAGCCGCGGUAAUACGUAGGGUGCAAGCGUUAAUCGGAAUUACUGGGCGUAAAGCGUGCGCAGGCGGUUUGCUAAGACCGAUGUGAAAUCCCCGGGCUCAACCUGGGAACUGCAUUGGUGACUGGCAGGCUAGAGUAUGGCAGAGGGGGGUAGAAUUUCACGUGUAGCAGUGAAAUGCGUAGAGAUGUGGAGGAAUACCGAUGGCGAAGGCAGCCCCCUGGGCCAAUACUGACGCUCAUGCACGAAAGCGUGGGGAGCAAACAGGAUUAGAUACCCUGGUAGUCCACGCCCUAAACGAUGUCAACUAGUUGUUGGGGAUUCAUUUCCUUAGUAACGUAGCUAACGCGUGAAGUUGACCGCCUGGGGAGUACGGUCGCAAGAUUAAAACUCAAAGGAAUUGAC
rnacentral:rRNA from 1 species